GGGAAGUAAUUAUGGCGUUGGCCUUCGCCGUGGUUGAGAUUACAGACUUUGCCGAAUCUGAGGAGAUGUCCGAUGUUCGAUUCUUCCUCAAGGAAUACAAAUUCGAACUCCUUACAGAACUCCUUGAAGGAGAUUAUGGUUUCGGCCUUUGUCGUGGUCGGAGGAGAAGAUGAUUUUUUGAGGAAGAAUCGAAUUCCUUUGUCGUGGUUGGAGGAGAAGAUUUUUUUGAGGAAGAAUCGAAUUCGAACUCCUGCUUCUGUUUCUGCUUCUCUUCUUUUGUCCUCAUCAUUGUUAUGGUAAUAAUUCUUAGGGAUAGGGUUUGGUUUAUGGAUUUCAUGAUCUACCUCAAACUGUGGUGGUGGGUUUCAUGUGCAACCCUGUAUAAAAAAAAUCCAGAAUUGGGAAUUCCUUCACGGUCAGCUCCUUGGGGUUGGCGCGGCUAUCUCUGCAUUUUUUAAAAACCUGAACUCUUCUCCUAUCAACCGCCUUUUACCUAUUCUGUUUCUAGUUCUGACUGAUUUUUUUUUUCCUUUUCUAUUUCUCAUUUUUUUAGAUUUUUUUUCUCAUUUAUUUGGAAAGAGAUAAUGUCGGGGAUAUUUUCGCCCAAGAUUGGCGAUCUCAAUGACUACAUCGCACAUUCGCAAGCUUGCAUUGUUUCUCUCAAGGGUCUUAAGGCAAAACACGAACACGACGAAGCAAGAUAAAACAGAGCGUCUCCAUUGUUUCCCAUCUCUAAGCACUUCCUUGUAUGUGAUCUUAAUUGGUUUCACGAUCUCCCCACCUUGAUCGCGAGGGAAGGACAUGAAGAACUUAAAGAUCAAGUUAUGGAUGACUGGUAUGUUGAGACUGUGGGUACCCCUCUAUUUAAGCUUCAUCAUAAAUUUUAGAAGUGCAGUUAUAAACCACGGUUCAAACGCACCUUUGGUAACACCUCCGUGGAAAUAGAUCACAUCAAGUCCAAGCUGGAGGAAAUUCAAGCAACCCCACCCACUGACCAGCAGCAUUCCCUUGAACAGCAAUAUCGAACCCAACUGGAGUGUCUUCUAGACAAGGAAGAAAAGCAUUAGGCUCAACAAUCAAGGAUCUGGUGGCUAAGAGCUAGCGAUUGCAACACCAAAUUUUUCCAUACUGCUACUGCGAUUCACUGUCACACCAAUAGGAUCACAAAGCUUAAAUCUCAAUCAGGCCAAUGGAUCACAGAGGAAUCAGAAAUAAACUAUCUUAUCAUGUCUUAUUUUUCCUCUUUAUUUGAAUCAUCUCAUCCUCAGAAUAUUCACAAUUUUUUGUCUUGUGUCAA